AUUGAACGCUGGCGGCAGGCCUAACACAUGCAAGUCGAACGAGUGGCGGACGGGUGAGUAAUGUCUGGGAAACUGCCUGAUGGAGGGGGAUAACUACUGGAAACGGUAGCUAAUACCGCAUACCAUCGGAUGUGCCCAGAUGGGAUUAGCUAGUAGGUUGGGUAAAGGCUCAACUAGGCGACGAGCCCUAGCUGGUCUGCGAGGAUGACCAGCCACACUGUGACUGAGACACGGUCCAGACUCCUACGGGAGGCAGCAGUGGGGAAUAUUGCACAAUGGGCGCAAGCCUGAUCCAGCCAUGCCGCGUGUAUGAAGAAGGGCUUCGGAUUGUAAAGCACUUUAAGUUGGGAGGCGUUACCAACAGAAUAAGCACCUGCUAACUUCGUGCCAGCAGCCGCGGUAAUUC
rnacentral:rRNA from 1 species